rnacentral:rRNA from 1 species
GUGCCAGCCGCCGCGGUAAUACGGAGGAUGCGAGCGUUAUCCGGAUUUAUUGGGUUUAAAGGGUGCGUAGGCGGAAUAAUAAGUCAGUGGUGAAACCCUGCAGCUUAACUGUAGACUUGCCAUUGAUACUGUUUUUCUUGAGUAUGGUCAAGGCAGGCGGAAUGUGUAAUGUAGCGGUGAAAUGCUUAGAUAUUACACAGAACACCGAUAGCGAAGGCAGCUUGCUGGGCCGUUACUGACGCUGAUGCACGAAAGCGUGGGGAUCGAACAGGAUUAGAAACCCCCGUAGUCC